UUCAGCUUCUCCAGGGAGACAGCAGGGUAGAGGAAAGUGAAGGUGUGAAACCUGCCUGUCAAGCUACAUAGAAGGUCUUAAGUGACUCUGCCACCAAGAUAUCUUGAAAAAAGUGAAGGUUAAAUUAAUUAAGAAACAUCACCAAGUCUACAGCAAAAGCUCCAAUCCCCAAAGAGGUUUGUAAAGAAGAAUAUACAUGCAAUCCAUAUGUACAUCCGGAUAUUGGCAUUAUUGUGUUAUCAUCUUUAAAGAAGGAGGAAUGGAUGAAAGCAUUGGCAGCAUAAUGAAUUGGCUGGGAACACAAACAUUAAAGCAAGAGCCACAUAUAAUAAUAUAUUCAGCGACAUGGCAGGGAAAAUAAACAAUAGUGCUAUCGGAUGAGCAAAAGCAAUGGACCCUCAGCUUCCAUGUCACAGAGAACAGUAGGAGCAGUAAGGAGCACAUUCUCUAUGUCGAGGGGUGUCAUUCCAACCAUUUGUAGGAACACAGCCCAAAAUUGUCAAUGGGGGAACACAGCCCAAAGUUGCCAAUCUUCUGAUCUUUAAGAGAAGGUAGAAAUAUAUUUUAAAAAUAAUAAUCCCAAUUUUUAAAUAGUGGAAAGUAAUUUAAUUUUAUUUAUAUGGUUUGCAACAAAAGAAAUUACACCUGUGUACUACAUACUCCCAUAGGCUGCUAGUUUUAGCUUCCCCUUUAGAAUUAGUCAAAUCUUAAUUCAAUCUUGAUUGAUAUGCACCUAUGUGAUUCUUGGGCAAGUCUUUAACCUGUUAACACCUUUAUUCCCAUGCCUUUAAAAUGGUAGUAAUUAUAGAUCCUUCACAGAGUUGUUUUAAGGAUAAAAUCUGAUCAUGAAAAGCUCUUAGUACAAUGACUUGACACUGUACCUGGUGUGUGGUAAGGCCUCAAAAUAAUAGAUAGUAGUGAUAGUAUCAAUUUUUAUGUCAGGUACCAAGAAUCCCAGUAAGAUUUAUUAUUUAUAGAAAGAUAAGUAAAAUGUAACUGUUUCAGGUUUUGCAGAAAGAGAAUUUAUACAUUUUUCCCAGGGCAAAAAUAGGCAAAACAAACAAGAAAAGAAUAAAAAUAAAUACAUGCAAAAUCUUCUUUAAUAAUAAUGAAGAACCUGAAUCUUUGCUUGGAAACACCACAUUUUUUUUUUAAAUGACUUAAGAGCUUUUGUGAAAUUUAGAAUUUGGCUAAUU